GCAGGCGGUCUGUCAAGUCGGAUGUGAAAUCCCCGGGCUCAACCUGGGAACUGCAUUCGAAACUGGCAGGCUUGAGUCUUGUAGAGGGGGGUAGAAUUCCAGGUGUAGCGGUGAAAUGCGUAGAGAUCUGGAGGAAUACCGGUGGCGAAGGCGGCCCCCUGGACAAAGACUGACGCUCAGGUGCGAAAGCGUGGGGAGCAAACAGGAUUAGAUACCCUGGUAGUCCACGCCGUAAACGAUGUCUACUUGGAGGUUGUGCCCUUGAGGCGUGGCUUCCGGAGCUAACGCGUUAAGUAGACCGCCUGGGGAGUACGGCCGCAAGGUUAAAACUCAAAUGAAUUGACGGGGGCCCGCACAAGCGGUGGAGCAUGUGGUUUAAUUCGAUGCAACGCGAAGAACCUUACCUGGUCUUGACAUCCACAGAAUUCUGCAGAGAUGCGGAAGUGCCUUCGGGAAC
rnacentral:rRNA from 1 species